GACAGAGGUGCCGAGCGUUAGGCGGAAUCACUGGGCUUAAAGCGUGUGUAGGCGGCCCGUUAAGUGUCCCGUGAAAUCCCCCGGCUCAACCGUGGAACCGCUGGGUAUACUGGUUGUCUUGAGCCGGCUAGGGGCGAGCGGAACAGACGGUGGAGCGGUGAAAUGCGUAGAUAUCGUCUGGAACGCCGAAGGUGAAAACAGCUCGCUGGGGCCGCGCUGACGCUGAGACACGAAAGCCAGGGGAGCGAACGGG
rnacentral:rRNA from 1 species